CCUCGUGAAUUCAUCUCCGGGGGUAGAGCACUGUUUCGGCUAGGGGGCCAUCCCGGCUUACCAACCCGAUGCAAACUGCGAAUACCGGAGAAUGUUAUCACGGGAGACACACGGCGGGUGCUAACGUCCGUCGUGAAGAGGGAAACAACCCAGACCGCCAGCUAAGGUCCCAAAGUCAUGGUUAAGUGGGAAACGAUGUGGGAAGGCCCAGACAGCCAGGAUGUUGGCUUAGAAGCAGCCAUCAUUUAAAGAAAGCGUAAUAGCUCACUGGUCGAGUCGGCCUGCGCGGAAGAUGUAACGGGGCUAAACCAUGCACCGAAGCUGCGGCAGCGACACUGUGUGUUGUUGGGUAGGGGAGCGUUCUGUAAGCCUGUGAAGGUGUGUCGUGAGGCAUGCUGGAGGUAUCAGAAGUGCGAAUGCUGACAUAAGUAACGAUAAAGCGGGUGAAAAGCCCGCUCGCCGGAAGACCAAGGGUUCCUGUCCAACGUUAAUCGGGGCAGGGUGAGUCGACCCCUAAGGCGAGGCCGAAAGGCGUAGUCGAUGGGAAACAGGUUAAUAUUCCUGUACUUGGUGUUACUGCGAAGGGGGGACGGAGAAGGCUAUGUUGGCCGGGCGACGGUUGUCCCGGUUUAAGCGUGUAGGCUGGUUUUCCAGGCAAAUCCGGAAAAUCAAGGC
rnacentral:rRNA from 1 species